ensembl:lncRNA
CAUAAGGGAGCCAUUGGGAGCCAUAGGGCGCCAUAGGGAGCCAUAGGGAUCUGAUGCCAUAGGGAAGCAGGGAUCCAAGGCCAUAGGGAUCCACAGGGAGCCAUUGGGAGCCAUAGGGAGCCAUUGGGAGCCAUAGGGGAGCCAUGGGGAGCCAUGGGGAGCCAUAGGGGAGCCAUAGGGGAGCCAUAGGGAUCUGAUGCCGUGGGGAAGCAGGGAUCUGAUGCCAUAGGGAAGCAGGGAGCGUGGGCCAUAGGGAGCCAAGGCCAUAGGGAGCCAGGGAUCUGGUGUCAUAGGGAGCCACAGGGAGCCAUAGGGAGUCAUAGGGAGCCACAGGGGGCCAGGGAUCUGGUGCCAUAGGGAACCACAGGUCCAGGGCCAUAGGGAGCCAUAAGGAGCCAUAGGGAGCCAAGGAUCUGGUGCCAUAGGGAGCCACAGAUCUAAGGCCAUACGGGCCACAGGUCCAGGGCCAUAGGGAGCCAGGGAGCCGGGGCCACAGGGAGUCCAGGAUCUGGUGCCAUAGGGAACUAGGGGGCCAGGGCCAUAGGGAGCCAAGGAUCCCAUGCCGUGGGGAAGCAGGGAUCUGAUACCAUAGGGAACCAGGGGGCCAGGGCCAUAGGGAGCCA